rfam:Sus scrofa chromosome 7.
GGAUGUGAGGGCGAUCUGGUUGCAACAUCUGUCACCCCAUUGAUCGCCAGGGUUGAUUCGGCUGCUCUGGCUGGCUAGGCGGGUGUCCCCUUCCUCCCUUACCGCUCCCGGUGUGUCCCUCCCAAAGCUGUGGAAGAGGCCGACCAUCCCCGAUGGAGGAGGACCGUUCUUCAGUCAAGGGUACACGAGUAGCUGCGCUCCCCUGCUAGAACCUCCAAACAAGCUCUCGAAAAAUAACGUGGCCUGAUUUUCAACAUAAAUACCUGUAUCUAACCCAGUCUAUCU